rnacentral:snoRNA from 1 species
AAUCCAUGGUGAGGACAUCUUCUCAUCAAAUCCUUAUACCUUUCCCAAGCCUCAUAUAGUGAUUUAGAAUCAAAUUGCAUGAAAAGAAGUAAUAUCAUUCCGCAUUUU